GACGAACGCUGGCGGCGUGCUUAACACAUGCAAGUCGAACGGAAAGGCCCUGCUUUUGUGGGGUGCUCGAGUGGCGAACGGGUGAGUAACACGUGAGUAACCUGCCCUUGACUUUGGGAUAACUUCAGGAAACUGGGGCUAAUACCGGAUAGGAGCUCCUGCUGCAUGGUGGGGGUUGGAAAGUUUCGGCGGUUGGGGAUGGACUCGCGGCUUAUCAGCUUGUUGGUGGGGUAGUGGCUUACCAAGGCUUUGACGGGUCGCCGGCCUGGGAGGGGGACCGGCCACAUUGGGCCUGCGAUACGGCCCAGACUCCUACGGUAGGCAGCAGUGGGGAAUAUUGCACAAUGGGCGGAAGCCUGAUGCAGCAACGCCGCGUGCGUGAUGACGGCCUGCUGGUUGUAAACCGCUUUCGCCUGUGACGAAGCGUGAGUGACGGUAAUGGGUAAAGAAGCACCGGCUAACUACGUG
rnacentral:rRNA from 1 species